rnacentral:snRNA from 1 species
GUGCUCGCUUCGGCAGCACGUAUACUAAAAUUGGAACGAUACAGAAAAGAUUAACGUGGCCCCUGCGCAAGGAUGACACGCAAAUUCGGGUAUUGGAUUUAUCU